GAAGUUUAAGCGCUCCGGUCAUCGAUGACCACCGUGGCGUCACAGGAGAAACGGUGGCCGGUCAUAUAUGACCAACGUGGCAGUCAAAGUGUUAAUAUAUGAGCGUUAGUUGCUCCAACGACCAAGCUAGAAUAUGCAGAGUGUUCCAAAAGGUUAAGGUUAAAUUUCAGGAGCAAAAAAGCAAAAAUGUCUUAAUAAACAUGGAUCUGAAUAUUUUUAAUAUCGGAAUUAUAAGAGGUUUUUAUCAGUGGAAUAUCAUCAAUUUAGGAAUGUUAUAUGAUAAGGAAACAAUUGGUUCUGAGAGUUGAUUAUGAUAUCGCUGAUAUCAAUUCUUCACAAUCUCGAAAAUUACCUUCCAAUGUUCGAUAUAGUUGUUGAUAUAUGACACUGAACACAUUACUAAUUAGGUGCAUACAUGUCGGGAAAAUUUCUUUACGCAAUAAACUUUCUUGUGCAGUCACUGACUUACAGUUGAAAAUGUCCUAUAAUUCAGAAAUGAUUAGAUUGCGGAUGUUCAUGGAUUUUAGGGAAAGAUUUCAAAUAACUACAGGAUGCAUAUAACAUGAAAAAAUACAUAAAAUAAAAUAUUUAAAGUGAAGCACUUAUUAUGAUACUUAAUAGACGAAACAAAUUUCUAUUUAGAUUCCAUUUCUCUAAUUAUGUUCAUAAAAAUAUAAAAUUAUAUAAAUAUUCGCAGUCUAUUAAUGAUAUUCGGAUCUAUAUUUAUUCAAAUGUUUUUCCUUGUUUUGAUGAGUACAGCAUGCUCCUGAAGUUUCAUCUCGAUUACUUGAAAUAUUCUCUAUAGACUCCCGCCAUGAGUGACGAGACAUUUGCUAAUUUUAAACACAAGUUUUAAUAAAAUAGGUUUUUAACAAAACCUUCAAAAUAUAAUAUAACUUAGCGUCCCUUAUAAUACACGCAAUUAAAAAUUAUUGAUUUUCUCUUGUAAUAACAUUUAUCUAUGCCUAUAAUAAAUGUCCCGUGACUCAGCCAGAGUAAUAUACAUGUACAACUGAUGGUUGAUUUCACGAAGUCAACAAGAACUCUGUGUUGUCCAAUUUAUAUCUUUUAAAAUGAUUAAUUUGAGGAUAUCUCGAUAAUGAUUAAUCUUAGACUCUAUCAUGUAUAAUACUUUUUUACGUAAAGUUUGAUGCUUUAUCCGAAUUCGAGAAGAAACGUUAAGCAUUCUAUCUAAAAAGCUGAAGGUGAUCAUCAUAUUUUGAUGAAAAAAAAA